CUGUCGCGGGUGGCCGGUGGCUACCGCGGCGGGCUGGCGUUCCGCACCGACCUGUUCGACGCCGGCACGGCCGA
rnacentral:tRNA from 1 species